rnacentral:lncRNA from 1 species
GCUAAUAUGAUUGAUGCAGACAAAUGUCAUAUAUGUAAUAUUGCAGAUAACAUUGAAUAUAUACAUAUUAACACAAAACAUCUGAUGGAAAAUGAUACAUUCUUUUGGAUGCGCUAAAGUAUCAACGUCUUUAGUGGGAGGUUGAACUAUUCACAUAUUGACUAGUGUGUUUUCCAUCAGCUGUAAAGUGCUCUUCUUAACCGCCUGUUAAUUGUAAAGUAAAUGUACAAUUAAGAUAUAAUAUCAAUUAUCACUGAUUAUAUAUCCAACAUAGUGACUAAGUAAGACAAACAUUACUUUUUUAAAGUUUUAAGGUGAGAAAGCAAGUGACAUAAUGAACAUCAACAUUAAUUAAGUUUAUUAAUCAUCAUAUUCAGUCUCUUUACCUUAAAACACUCUUAACUUAUCAGAGAACCAAACAACCCCUUGAGAUUCUGCACUUUGGUACCAAAGUUAGAGAAAGUAUGAAGCCACAAUGUCAAUGGGGAUGAAGGGGUCUGUGAGGCAAUUCUAGAUAUCUAUGAAACAAGUUCAAUAUUAUAACACAUAAGCUAAAAAUUAUAACUCGAUUUACAUGCAAGACAUAUGCUUUAUACCUUAUGCAUUAAAU